rnacentral:tRNA from 1 species
GCGGGCGUAACUCAGUGGUAGAGUGUUUGCUUCCCAAGCAAAAAGUCGAGGGUUCAAAUCCCUUCGCCCGCUCCA